rnacentral:rRNA from 1 species
UACGAGGGGGGCGAGCGUUGUUCGGAAUUAUUGGGCGUAAAGGGCUCGUAGGCGGUUUGUCGCGUCGGGAGUGAAAACUCAGGGCUUAACCCUGGGCCUGCUUCCGAUACGGGCAGACUAGAGGUAUGCAGGGGAGAACGGAAUUCCUGGUGUAGCGGUGAAAUGCGCAGAUAUCAGGAGGAACACCGGUGGCGAAGGCGGUUCUCUGGGCAUUACCUGACGCUGAGGAGCGAAAGUGUGGGGAGCGAACAGG